rnacentral:lncRNA from 1 species
AUCAUGGACCAUGAAGAGGCAAGGAGAAAGAAUGUUGGUGGGAAAGUUCUUGGUUUCUUCUACUGAGUGAUGAUGAGUUGAGUUUCUGGGUUAUAAAGGGAUGAUGAGUUGAGUUUCUGGUUAUAACGAGGUUUUGGCCCUGUAAUUUGCAAGUUGUGGUUUUUUUACCAUAGGAUUCCUGUAAUGCCUUCAUGUUUGGUUUUCUAGGGCACCCAUUUGCAUCAAAAUUAUAACGAGUUUUUUGUGGUUCGCGUUU